rnacentral:rRNA from 1 species
GACGAACGCUUGGCUGCAGGCUUAUCUCAUGCGCGUCCCACCAGAACGUUCUGGCUUUGCCAGGACAAAUACAGUGGCGGGACGGGUGCGUAUCGCGUAGAUAACCUGCCCUCAGGCGCGGGACAAUCACAGGAAACCGUGGCUAAUACCUCACGUCGUCUAGGCCCCGCAUGGGGACCAGAUGAAAGCCUUCGGGCGCCUUUGGAUGGGUCUGCGUUGGAUUAGCUUGUUGGUGAGGCAACGGCUCACCAAGGCGACGAUCCAUACCUGGUCUGAGAGGACGAUCAGCCACACUGGGACUGAGACACAGCCCACACUCCUACCGGAGGCAGCAGUGGGGAAUCUUGCACAAUGGGGUCACCCCUGAUGCAUCCAUGCCGGCGUGGAGGAAGACACCCCUAUGCGGGCGUAAACUCCUUUUCUGAGAGAAUAAACCUCUGUACGUUCAAAGUGUGACGGUAUCUCAGGAAUAAGCACCGGCUAACACCCUGCCAUCAGCCACGGUAAUAUGGAGGGUGCAAGCGUUGUCCGGAAUCACUGGGCGUAAAGGGUGCGCACGCGGGGCAGCAAGUCUGAGGUGAAACCCCAUGGCUCAACCAUGGAAGUGCCUUCGAUACUGCUGCUCUUGAGUCCCGGAGAGGUUGUCUGAAUUCGUGGUGUACCCGUGAAAUGCGUAGAUAUCACCAUGAACACCAUACGCCAAGGCGGACAACUGGACGGGUACUGACGCUCAGGCAUGAAAGCGUGGGGAGCAAACAGGAUUAGAUACCCUGGUAGUCCACGCUGUAAACGAUGAAUGCUGGCAGUCGCCUAGUUAAGGGGCAGUGGCUAAGAUAAAGGGUUAAGCAUUCCGAAUGGGGAGUACGAUCGCAAGGUUGAAAUUCAAAGGAAUAGACGGGGGCCCGCACAAGCGGUGGAGCAUGUGGCUCAAUUCGAUGAAAGGUGAAGAACUUUACAUAGGCUCGAACGCUAGGCGCUAGUUCGUGAAAGGGAGUUUUCGGCAAGGAGGCGUAGCGAGGUACUGCAGGGCUGUCGUCAGCUAGAGUGGUGAGAUGUUGGGUUAAGUCCCGUCAACGAGCGUAACCCCUGUUGGUAGUUACCAUGGGGUAAUGCCGGGGAAUUUAGCGAAACUGCCUGCGCAAGCAGUGAGGAAGGUGGGGAAGAUGUCAAGUCAUCAUGGUCCUUACGCGUACGGGCUGCACAAGUGUUACAAUGGCGAGGUACAACGAGCAGACACCUCGAGAGAGGGAGAGAAUCUUUGAAAGCCGGUCGUAGAUCGGAAAGGAGUCUGCAAGUCGACUCCAGGAAGCAGGAAUAGGUAGUAAUUGAGGAUCAGCAAUGCCGGGGUGAAUAGGUUCCGGGGCCUGGUACACACCGCCAGUCGAGCCAUUGAAGCUAAGAGCACCUGAAGUCAAGUGACCCAAACGUUUUGGGAGGAAGCGGCUGAAGGAGAGUUGCAGUGAAGGGGGCU